GCCCGGAUAGCUCAGUCGGUAGAGCAGGGGAUUGAAAAUCCCCGUGUCGGCAGUUCGAUUCUGUCUCCGGGCACCA
rnacentral:tRNA from 26 species